rnacentral:rRNA from 1 species
AGGGUUCGAUUCUGGCUCAGGAUGAACGCUGGCGGCGUGCUUAACACAUGCAAGUCGAACGGGAAAUACUUUAUUGAAACUUCGGUGGAUUUAAUUUAUUUCUAGUGGCGGACGGGUGAGUAACGCGUGGGUAACCUGCCUUAUACUGGGGGAUAACAGCCAGAAAUGACUGCUAAUACCGCAUAAGCGCACAGAACCGCAUGGUUCGGUGUGAAAAACUCCGGUGGUAUAAGAUGGACCCGCGUUGGAUUAGCUAGUUGGCAGGGCAGCGGCCUACCAAGGCGACGAUCCAUAGCCGGCCUGAGAGGGUGAACGGCCACAUUGGGACUGAGACACGGCCCAG